rnacentral:rRNA from 1 species
AUACGUAGGGUGCAAGCGUUAAUCGGAAUUACUGGGCGUAAAGCGUGCGCAGGCGGUUUUGUAAGACAGAGGUGAAAUCCCCGGGCUCAACCUGGGAACUGCCUUUGUGACUGCCAGGCUCGAGUACGGCAGAGGGGGGUGGAAUUCCGCGUGUAGCGGUGAAAUGCGUAGAUAUGCGGAGGAACACCGAUGGCGAAGGCAAUCCCCUGGGCCUGUACUGACGCUCAUGCACGAAAGCGUGGGGAGCAAACAGGAUUAGAUACCCUGGUAGUCCACGCCCUAAACGAUGUCAACUGGUUGUUGGGUCUUCAUUGACUCAGUAACGAAGCUAACGCGUGAAGUUGACCGCCUGGGGAGUACGGCCGCAAGGUUGAAACUCAAAUGAAUUGACGGGG